UACGUAGGGGGCAAGCGUUGUCCGGAUUUAUUGGGCGUAAAGAGCGUGUAGGCGGCCAGAAAAGUCCGCUGUGAAAACUCGAGGCUCAACUUCGAGCUGUCGGUGGAAACUUUCUGGCUAGAGUCCGGAAGAGGAGAAUGGAAUUCCUGGUGUAGCGGUGAAAUGCGCAGAUAUCAGGAAGAACACCCGUGGCUAAGGCGGUUCUCUAGUACGGUACUGACGCUGAGACGCGAAAGCGUGGGGAGCGAACAGG
rnacentral:rRNA from 1 species